rnacentral:tRNA from 1 species
GGGGAUUUAGCUCAGUGACAUAAGCGCCUGCCUUGCAAGCAGGCAGUCUUCAGUUCAAUCCCCA